GGCUUCCUCCUGCCUCCUCCCCUCCAGCCUUCCACCAGGACCUUCACUGGCAGAGCUGACCACAGAUAUAGGAGCAGAGCAGAGGAAGAACAAACAGGCAGCUGACCUGCACACAGGGCUCUUUGCAGAUAUGUAUAAAGGAAAAAAAAAUCUGGAAAUGUACAGUCCAGUAACAAAGCAGACUGCAUCUCUCAGGAGGAUGCAGCCACUGCUAGACAGCCUCUCCCCUGGAGCACCUCCUGCCUUCGAGGAGAGGCCCCGCUGUGUGCCAGGAGCAGAGAGAUGCAGCCAGCCCACAUCAAACCGUGAGAGGGUCUGGUCCCUCCAGGCAAGUGGUCACGACACCGUCGUCUGUGAUCCUCCCGACACUGUCUUUCAGUCAGGAGGAGCAGGGGCCAUGCUGGCAAAGCCAGAAGCAGAAGGGGAAGGUGGCUGUGCUGAAUGGGUUGCUUAAUCCUGGCUGCUCAGAAGAAUCACCGGGGGUUUAAUUUUACCCAUAUGUGAAGUCAGAAUACCCGCCUUCCAGAGAUGUCCAUGUCCUAAUCCCUAGGACCCAUUACCUUCUCUGUGAUUAAGUUAAGAUCUCAUGGAAUGGAGUUGUCCUGAAUUAUCCAGGUAAUCAUGGGGGUCUUUAAAAGUGGGAAAAGGCCUCAGAAGAAGAGGGGAAGAAGGAGAUGUUACUAUGGAAGAAACAGAGAGAAGCAACAUUGCCGGCUUUGAAGAUGGAUGAAGGGGGCCUUUAGAAGCUGCAAAAGACUGUAAACUUCUUGAGAGCAAGGCCAAUGCUUUGUUCAUUAUUCUACAUCCAGAGUGAAGCACAGUGGCUGGUACAUAGUAAACAUUCAGUAAGGAAUUGAGAAAUGUAUGAAUGCAUUUUCAUUCUCUGAUAAGGUCAGAAUAAAUGUGGAAAAGAAUCACUGAUGCUAAUGUUUUCAAAACUAUUGCCAGUUUAUAAAUUAUCACCAGAAAGUUUCAUUAAUGCUUUCUCUGCCCAGUGGCAGAAACAUGCAUAUAAUUGUGCAAAGCCCAAAACAAACUAAAAAUACCAAAACAAGAACUUCUACUUUCAAGGAGAUAGAAUGGACAUACUUUUCCCUUUUCUCUCACAUGAGUACAACAAAAAUCCCUGGACAAACAUCACGUAGCAAAACCACAAUGAGGUGUUAUCUCACACUUAUUAGAAUGGCUAUUAUCAAAAAGACAAGAAAUAACAAGUACAGCAAGGAGGUGGAAAAAAAGGGAACCCUUGAGCGCCGAAGAA